rnacentral:SRP_RNA from 3 species
UUCGGGUGCCAGUUAACAGGUGAAUGCCCAACUCCAUCAGGUCCGGAAGGAAGCAGUGGUAAGCAAAAGCUUGUGUAGCUGGUUACCCUUUUUU